rnacentral:lncRNA from 1 species
ACAACCAUAGGCCUGAAACAAAAAGACUCCAAAAAUACAGAGAGCCAUUAAUCUGUAUCAGAUUCUUGCGUGCUCUCUCUCCCCAUCCAUCAUAUACAUGCAUGUUUUUUAAUACAUCCCCAAGCCCUUUUUUCAUCUGCUUAUGCAGAGAUGUCAGGCUUUUUUAAUCUUACUCAACUCUGAAGAAGCUGAGUGGCCUAUAGAUGACCAAAAUGCUCUGAUGGCUUCUUGCAGGGAGUGUGCAUGUGUGAGUGAGUGUGGCGUGCAUGUAUAAAGAAAAGCUUUUCUCUGAAAAGAGCAGAGAAGGGCAUGGUGACCUCGAUGAAAGUGAAUGAUGCAUCUUUUCCCUGCCCACUCCCAGCCCCAUCUCACAUGUUAUUUAUUAUAUUGAAGGGUUAGAAUCUGGGGCACCCUGGUAUCUUCCUGUAUCCUAUGCUCUUGCUGCCUACCGUUUUUGGGGUUCACUGACAAAUCCUUGCUGACUGGAGUCGGGGUGUGUGGAGUGGAUCACUUCAAUUCAUGCCAGGAGAAGAAUCAUUAGAUUCUAAAUGCAUUCAGAAGACAGGGGGCAGAGAGACAGACUCGGAGGAUCACAGAGGCUCCUCAAAGCUGGUUUUGCAAAGCUGUGACAGAAAGCCUCAGAAAAGCACUGGAAGGCUGGCUUCUGCUUCAAUCUAUCAUGAGAAGCCAUCAAGAUGUUGCCUUUCUUGUACUGCCAUUAAAAAUGCAACAUCUGGCUUUAAA